CAGCAGCCGCGGAAAUACGUAGGGUGCAAGCGUUAAUCGGAAUUACUGGGCGUAAAGCGUGCGCAGGCGGUUAUAUAAGACAGAUGUGAAAUCCCCGGGCUCAACCUGGGAACUGCAUUUGUGACUGUAUAGCUAGAGUACGGCAGAGGGGGAUGGAAUUCCGCGUGUAGCAGUGAAAUGCGUAGAUAUGCGGAGGAACACCGAUGGCGAAGGCAAUCCCCUGGGCCUGUACUGACGCUCAUGCACGAAAGCGUGGGGAGCAAACAGGAUUAGAUACCCGCGUAGUCCCUGUCUCUUAUAC
rnacentral:rRNA from 1 species